UGGCUUAUUUCGGACUUUGUUUUACAAUGUCCGGAUGUUUACUUUGAGAAAAUUAGAGUGCUCAAAGCAGGCUUUCGCCUUGAAUAGUUUAGCAUGGAAUAAUAAAGUAGGACUUUGGUUCUAUUUUGUUGGUUUUAGGUACCAAAGUAAUGGUUAAUAGGAACAGUUGGGGGCAUUCGUAUUUAACUGUCAUAGGUGAAAUUCU
rnacentral:rRNA from 1 species